UACGUAGGGCGCAAGCGUUGUCCGGAAUUAUUGGGCGUAAAGAGCUCGUAGGCGGCUUGUCACGUCGGGUGUGAAAGCCCGGGGCUUAACCCCCGGGUCUGCAUUCGAUACGGGCUGGCUAGAGUGUGGUAGGGGAGAUCGGAAUUCCUGGUGUAGCGGUGAAAUGCGCAGAUAUCAGGAGGAACACCGGUGGCGAAGGCGGAUCUCUGGGCCAUUACUGACGCUGAGGAGCGAAAGCGUGGGGAGCAAACAGG
rnacentral:rRNA from 1 species